GCUGGGUAGCUACGUGUGGCAAGGAUAAGUGCUGAAAGCAUCUAAGCAUGAAGCCACCCUCAAGAUGAGACUUCCCACUUCCAGAGGUCAGAGUUCAGAAGCCAGAAGUCAGAGAAAAAGCUUUGGCUGGGAAGGUUCAGGAUGAAUGAAUCCGACCUCCGGUUUCUGACAUCUGACCUCUGGAAGGUAAGAUCCCUCAGAGACGAUGAGGUAGAUAGGUCCGAGGUGGAAGCGUGGUGACACGUGGAGCUGACGGAUACUAAUCGAUCGAGGACUUAACUAUA
rnacentral:rRNA from 1 species